CCCAAUGCCUCCGUUUACCCCGAGGGGAGUUGUUGAGGCUAGGACAUGUGCUCGAGAGCUGGGGUGCCUGAAUCCAUCCAGAGAAGUCUUGUCAGGUAAAUCUUCACAAAACCUGGGACUCCUAGCUCUUCUGACCUUUGCUCCAGUUUCCAGGUCCUGUCACCAAGACUUCCCAGCUAUGGCAGACCAUAAACUAGAAUUCUGACCUGAAACAAGCCCUUCUCCCUAACUUGCUUUUAUCAAGCAUUUGAUCACAGUGACAGCCAACAAUGCUGAGACAGAGGACUGGAACAUCCCCAUCCACCCCAUACAUCCUCAUUGAACAGACUUUGGUGGAUGCUGAAACCUGCUGGGGAAAAGGAUCCCAGAGAGAGAAACAG